rnacentral:rRNA from 1 species
AAAUAAAUAUAUAAAGAGUCGAGCCUGCCCAGUGAUAAACUUUAAACGGCCGCGGUACUCUGACCGUGCAAAGGUAGCAUAAUCAUUUGCCUUAUAAUUGAAGGCUUGUAUGAAUGGUUUGACAAAAGCAUAACUGUCUCCUUAAAAUUUUAUAAAAUUUGGUUUUUAGGUGAAGAAACCUAAAUAUUAUUGAAAGACAAGAAGACCCUAUCGAGCUUUAGAAUAAUUAAUUAAAAAAUAUAGCUUAAAUAAUUAAUUUUAAUUAAAAACUUUGGUUGGGGCGACUAAGGAACAUAUAAAGCUUCCUAUAUUUAAAUAUGCUUAUAAGCUAUGAUCCAAAAUAUUUGAUUAAAAAAAUUAGUUACCGUAGGGAUAACAGCAUAAUUUUUUUUGAGAGUUCUUAUCGAAAAAAAAGUUUGUGACCUCGAUGUUGGACUAGGAUAUCUUAAAGAUGCAGAAAUCUUUAAAAGUUGGUCUGUUCGACCA